GAGCGCCGUAGCAAUACGGAGAGGCAGACGGGAGAGUAACACGUGGGAACGUACCCUUUGGUUCGGAACAACCCAGGGAAACUUGGGCUAAUACCGGAUAAGCCCUUACGGGGUAAAGAUUCAUCGCCGAAGGAUCGGCCCGCGUCUGAUUAGCUAGUUGGUGGGGUAAUGGCCCACCAAGGCGACGAUCAGUAGCUGGUCUGAGAGGAUGAUCAGCCUCACUGGGACUGAGACACGGCCCAGACUCCUACGGGAGGCAGCAGUGGGGAAUAUUGGACAAUGGGCGCAAGCCUGAUCCAGCCAUGCCGCGUGGGUGAUGAAGGCCCUAGGGUUGUAAAGCCCUUUCGGCGGGGAAGAUAAUGACGGUACCCGCAGAAGAAGCCCCGGCUAACUUCGUGCCAGCAGCCGCGGUAAU
rnacentral:rRNA from 1 species